GAUGAAGAACGUAGCGAAAUGCGAUAAGUAGUGUGAAUUGCAGAAUUCAGUGAAUCAUCGAAUCUUUGAACGCACAUUGCGCCCCUUGGUAUUCCAUGGGGCAUGCCUGUUCGAGCGUCAUUUGUACCUUCAAGCUUUGCUUGGUGUUGGGUGUUUGUCUCGCCUUUGCGUGUAGACUCGCCUUAAAAUAAUUGGCAGCCGGCGUAUUGAUUUCGGAGCGCAGUACAUCUCGCGCUUUGCACUCAUAACGACAGCGUCCAAAAGUACAUUUUACACUCUUGACCUCGGAUCAGGUAGAGAUACCCGCUGAACUUAAGCAUAUCAAUAAGCGGAGGA
rnacentral:misc_RNA from 1 species